AUGUUGCUGGUGUGUGAUUUUCUACUGCGUCUCACCAUAUAUGUUUUGUGUGUUAUGUUAUCAAUGAUAUGCCUAGUUAUGGUGUACAACAUCAAAGGUGGUUGCUGUUUUUUAUAUGGUAUAAAUGUUUGGGCAUGCUGCGCCGGCCGAACUUUCAGCCGGUUUGCACGCCACGCUAGCAAAACGCGCCCCGCCUCCUUUCAGCACGUGCAUCCUUUCCCCUCCCUCCUCCCCGGGCAGCGAUUGGGCCACCAUGAGCUCAUCCUUUCCCCUCCCUCCCCGGGCAACGACUGGGCCACCAUGAGCUUCAUUGCCGACGGCCAGGCGCUCCCUCGCCGGCUGCCAUGGCCAGAUCCAUUCCCUACUUAUAGUCUUCACGUGGCCAGGAGCUCCCUCGUCGGCCGCCAUGGCUGCCUGCAGCCAUGCCCCAAUCCUCCCGCCUGCCCAAGUGUUGCAACCAUCAUUUAG
rnacentral:rRNA from 1 species